UUGCUGAAUGUGUGAAAAUGGUAGGAUGGGCCUAAGAUGCCAUAUAUGAUAGUGAAGGUACGACAUCGCUGACCCAGUUAAAAAGUGUUUGAAUACCCGUCAUUGAGACUGCGAAAUUCAUGUCAUUUAAUUUCUCUAUGUAUAGUAUUAUAGUAAUAAGUCUACAUGUACAAAAUUGAACCAUAAUCAGUACUGGCAUGCCACCAGAUUUACAUGAGAACAAUUGAAUGCUAGCAGGGCACACAGUAUCAAGUUGUCUAAUUAAGAAGGCUACAAAUUAGUUUAGAAAAAAAGUAAAGUUGAAUAUCUACAACUAAUUAAUGUAAGGGUAGUCUUGGGUGAUGAAAAGGAACAUAAAAAGAAACUUUUGUAUCGGGGGAAUUGUAUUAUAGAAGCGGUUUUUACCAAUCAUGAUUCUUAUUGUAGUUGGUUUUUCUGUUGAUGUUCAUCGGGUAGUGGAUUAUUGAUAGUCCUUUUUAAUUGGAUAUUCUAUUUUUGAUUGCCUUUCCAGUCCCUCUGCAUUGUAAUGCUUCAUCUCUGCCCCUACGGAAUCAUGCAAAGAGCAAUUUAACACAGAAGAGUAGCUCCAAAUUUGUUGAGGCGACUCCUUAUUCCGUCCUCCUACUCCUCUUCAUGAAUCGGUUCGUAUUAUAAUAAAUUUCAUUGUGUAUAAAGUUAUUGUGAAUAAUAAUUUUUUUUCAUUUCGAAUUCUAUUUAAUAGUUUGUUGACAAAAAAGUAAAAUAAUCAUUCAGAAGCCAUGUAAAUUUCAUUCAUUCCAGUUCAAACUAUUACAUCAAUAAAAAGUCAGUCGAACAAAGAAUAUUGGUGUAUAGUUAAGUUUUCUGUGCCUAUUGUUAGUAAUUAGUUGAGUACAUGCCGCCGAAUACAUAAAGUCAGAUAGUUUUAAAGGAUUGUUGGAAAGGACUUUGGAACCCGAUAUCGGUGAAGGUAUCAGCCGGGGAAGGAAUAAAAGUAAAAUGGAGCAAGAAAGUAGAUGUUAGUGUUUGGUUUAAUGAAUGUUGGUACAGAGUUGUAAAGUUAUUAGGUUUAGGGCGUGGGUAUUUCGUGGUUUUUAAGUGUAACGGAGGAUCUAAAGUUAAGUUCGUGGUGAUCCAUUCGAGUGACUUGGAGAUUGAUUAUUCGAGUUUGAUAAGUUUUCAUGACGAUCACCACCAUGUGGGAAAUAAGUUUUCGAGUCAUAUGGGGGUGAGCGUUAUGGAAACCUGUCAAACUUGAGUAUUCAAUCUCCGAAGCACUCGAAUGGAUCACAACGAGCUUAAAUUCAGAUUCACCGUUAUACUUAAAAGUCACAAAAUACCCAUACUUUAAUCUCAAUAGCUCCACAACUCUGUGCUAAACUGCAUUUAGCCAAACGCUAUCAUCUUCUUUCUUGAUCAAUUUUUCUUUUAUUUCAUCCCGGGCUGGAAACUCCAACGAUAUCGGAUUUGAUAGUUCUUUCCAGUAUUUCUUUUAAAAAAUACAACAGGAAAGAUUGGAGUCGAUCAACAAAGAAAAUUAAAUAUUAACCAGAUGAGUGAUAAUGUUUAUUUUUUUUAAGGGAAUAUUAAAUAGAAUUUAACUCGGAAAAAAUAUUACAUAGAAUUUUUCACGAAAAUAUUAAAUACGAGUGAUGAUAAUUUUUCACCCCGAUUCUUGAGGAGGACAUGGAGGAGGAUAGGAGGAAGAAGAGGCUGCGUGCACAAAGUUGGUUAUACAGGAAGCAGCAGAAGAACAACAAGAUUUGCCGUAGAUGUUGCAAAUACCAUUAACUUGAAUGGCAAUAUGAGUUUUGGAAUAAAGCCUGUUCUCUUCAAAACGUACCAGUUGCAAAUACCAUUAACUUGAAUGUGACAGCAUGGAGGACAUACGUCAUGUCUCAAAUGAAGUAAUAUCUCAGGCCUCUGUGCUGAGGACAAUUACCCUUUCAGUUUGUAAUUUUUGCUGGUACUCUUUGUUUGGAAUUUACAUCCCCAAAAAUCUUCAGCACCUCAUCAUUGUUGUCUUUGAGGUCUGAAUGAGAGACUAUCUUGAGAAGCACGCAAUUUAGAGAUAUGAUUUUUGCUGUGGUUGUUGCAAGUAUUGGAUUGGUUCUGUGUGCAUGGCUCGUAGGGGAUAUGGUUCCGCCAACUGCAAGAACGACAAGCAUGAUAUGCCGAACAAAAUGUUAUCCCUAAAUUCAGAAUACAAUGACGAAUACAAUAACUGUCAGCUUCAAUUGAGUAUCACUAUUGCCAGAAAUACGUGGGCUUUUUCCAAUCAAGUCUUGUCACUUUCGAAUGAGGCCCAUUUGAUGUAGGAAAAAAUGUUGACCUCAUCCGGACAAAAAUUGACUCCUUCACAUGACAUAAUUUGUAAACUAGCUUUAUCAAUAUUUUUCAUUGGGUCUCAUGGCAGUUUUUUGUUAGCCUCAUUCAACUGUAAUAACCAAGAUGAUGUAUGUCCUACACUUUGUUUUAUCACUUGGGGUUGUACUUCAUUGUACAUGUAAAUG